UUGGAUUAGACCCUAAUCCAAACCGCACAACGAACUUUCACCAAGUAGAUAUAAAGUUAGUUGAAAACUUAAGCAAAGACACCAAUCUAGGGCCACAUGUAAACCGUAGUCAGAUCUAGCACUCUCACACGAGCAAAACUCGACGAAAAAACGUAGUGGACCUUUGAUCGUAGCUGACACUAAAACCCACAGGCCACAACAGAAGAACCUACCUCCGUCAGUCAAGCUUGUCAAGAGAACAUUAGGAGAGAGGGAGAUAGAUAGAUUAUGGCAAAAUCGUGCAAGGGCCUGGCAGAAGAGCUUGUCAAGUGUCUUAGCGACUCUGAUUGUGUUAAGGUUGAUAUGCGAGCUCGGAUCCGAGGAAACAAGGGAUAUUAAAUAUUGGACCUUUGGAGGCAAUUUCCUUGGAGCUAAGUUAUGUAAAUGGUAGUAGGUUCAUCAUUUACUAAGUUUAACUAUGCGUUCUAAACUUUUGCUGAUGAAAAUUCCUGGGCUUCUGGCACUACUAAUCGAUCUCUAACCAAAAUUUUGCUUUUUAUUUUAUUUUAUUUUAUUUUAUAUAGUGUCUAACUUUAUAGACUAUACUGAGAUUUUGGUCGUGGCUAAUAACAUUAUAUAAUUGGUUCAUGAGGACUUGGAGUGUGUAUUGAUGAAAUACCAUUUGCAAUUCUUGUUACGACUACCA